GAAUUUCUUUGGCCUCUUCCCGGGAACAGAUGCAGGCAGAGAGAGCAUCCAUUCAGUUUGCAGAGGCUGCAGGGUCAGCAAGACCGAGGCUCCAGUCACCAGGAAGACACAGGUGGAGCCUGGAGCCGGGAGACGGUUUGCCUGACGUCACACAGGCGGUUGGUUAUAAGCUACAGGCCAGAACAGCCUGGCGUUCACCGCGAGGACCUAGGUGGGUGACCUGCUGAGUGUGUGCUCAUCCCGAAGGUGGAAGAUCCAGCCACUCCGCACGCCUCAGUCAUCUGUCCAGUCUCCAUGGCCUUGCGCUCACUGAACCUCCUGCUGGAACACUCUCGCCUCCCUCUCUGGAGGGGCACUGCCUCGGCCUCUGAUGCCUUCUCAGCCCCGGC